AUUGAACGCUGGCGGCAGGCUUAACACAUGCAAGUCGAGCGGAGAUGAGGUGCUUGCACCUUAUCUUAGCGGCGGACGGGUGAGUAAUGCUUAGGAAUCUGCCUAUUAGUGGGGGACAGCAUUCCGAAAGGAAUGCUAAUACCGCAUACGUCCUACGGGAGAAAGCAGGGGAUCUUCGGACCUUGCGCUAAUAGAUGAGCCUAAGUCGGAUUAGCUAGUUGGUGGGGUAAAGGCCUACCAAGGCGACGAUCUGUAGCGGGUCUGAGAGGAUGAUCCGCCACACUGGGACUGAGACACGGCCCAGACUCCUACGGGAGGCAGCAGUGGGGAAUAUUGGACAAUGGGGGGAACCCUGAUCCAGCCAUGCCGCGUGUGUGAAGAAGGCCUUAUGGUUGUAAGGCACUUUAAGCGAGGAGGAGGCUACUUUAGUUAAUACCUAGAGAUAGUGGACGUUACUCGCAGAAUAAGCACCGGCUAACUCUGUGCCAGCCGCCGCAGGUAAUAC
rnacentral:rRNA from 1 species